GGGCCCGCACAAGCGGUGGAGUAUGUGGUUUAAUUCGAUGCAACGCGAAGAACCUUACCAGGGUUUGACAUCCUGCGAAUCUCUUGGAAACGAGAGAGUGCCUUCGGGAGCGCAGUGACAGGUGGUGCAUGGCUGUCGUCAGCUCGUGUCGUGAGAUGUUGGGUUAAGUCCCGCAACGAGCGCAACCCACGUCUUUAGUUGCCAGCAUUUAGUUGGGCACUCUAGAGAGACCGCCGGUGAUAAACCGGAGGAAGGUGUGGAUGACGUCAAGUCAUCAUGCCCCUUACAUCCUGGGCUACACACGUACUACAAUGGCCGGUACAGAGGGCAGCCACACCGCAAGGUGGAG
rnacentral:rRNA from 1 species